AACGAACGCUGGCGGCAUGCCUAACACAUGCAAGUCGAACGAGACCUUCGGGUCUGGUGGCGCACGGGUGCGUAACGCGUGGGAACCUGCCCUUAGGUUCGGAAUAACUCCCCGAAAGGGGUGCUAAUACCGGAUAAUGUCUUCGGACCAAAGAUUUAGCGCCUUUGGAUGGGCCGGCGUUGGAUUAGCUAGUUGGUAGGGUAAAAGCCUACCAAGGCGACGAUCCAUAGCUGGGCUGAGAGGAUGAUCAGCCACACUGGGACUGAGACACGGCCCAGACUCCUACGGGAGGCAGCAGUGGGGAAUAUUGGACAAUGGGCGAAAGCCUGAUCCAGCAAUGCCGGGUGAGUGAUGAAGGCCUUAGGGUUGUACAGCUCUUUUACCCGGGAUGAUAAUGACAGUACCGGGAGAAUAAGCACCGGCUAACUCCGUG
rnacentral:rRNA from 1 species